UACAGAGGUCUCAAGCGUUGUUCGGAUUCAUUGGGCGUAAAGGGUGCGUAGGCGGCGCGGUAAGUCGGGUGUGAAAUCUCGGAGCUUAACUCCGAAACUGCAUUCGAUACUGCCGUGCUUGAGGACUGGAGAGGAGACUGGAAUUUACGGUGUAGCGGUGAAAUGCGUAGAUAUCGUAAGGAAGACCAGUGGCGAAGGCGGGUCUCUGGACAGUUCCUGACGCUGAGGCACGAAG
rnacentral:rRNA from 1 species